GACGAACGCUGGCGGCGUGCUUAACACAUGCAAGUCGUACGGUAAGGCCCUGUCGGGGGUACACGAGUGGCGAACGGGUGAGUAACACGUGAGUAACCUGCCCACAACUUUGGGAUAACGCUAGUAAACUGGUGCUAAUACUGAAUAUGUGCUCCUUCUGCAUGGUGGGGGUUGGAAAGCUACGGGGGUUGUGGAUGGACUCGCGGCCGAUCAGCUUGUUGGUGGGGUAGUGGGCUACCAAGGCGGCGACGGGUAGCCGGCCCGGGAGGGUGACCGGCCACAUUGGGGCUGAGAUACGGCCCAGACUCCUACGGGAGGCAAGAGGGGGGAAUAUUGCACAAUGGGCGCGAGCCCGAUGCAGCAACGCCGCGGGCGGGAUUACCGCCUUCGGGUUGUAAACCGCUUUCAGCAGGGACGAAGCUUUUUGUGACGGUACCUGCAGAAGAAGCACCGGCUAACUACGUG
rnacentral:rRNA from 1 species